GGGACAAGAUGCUUCUCGGUCAAGGUUGCGCUUGAAGCAGAUGAAGACAAAGACGAAUGUGUUUCAAGGAUGAUUUGGCUUGGAGUUUAGUCAUGAUUUCAAAACACUUGGGGUGAGGCUACCAUGAAGGUAAAGGAUGAUGGCUUGGAGAAAAAAAAGACAUGACUUGCUUGCAAAUGAAGUCAAAAUAGAAGAUGAAAGAGUGAAGACCAAAGUGAAAAUUAGGAUUAGGUUUAACGAUUAGGUUAGUUGACUUUGGUCUACUGGUUGACCAAAGUCAACUGUAGGUCAAAGUUACAUUUUUUUUUGUAAUUUUGUAUAGAUUCUUGUAAUUUUGGUCUUGUGCAAAUGAAAUGGAAACUUUGAAAAGAAAA